rnacentral:lncRNA from 1 species
GGCUGUGACAAAAUGUAAAUGCCAUUACUCAGAGUUCCAUUCAUUACAGCAGCACCAUUCCAAAUGAUAUUGCAAUAAUCCUUUUUUAUUGAUAUUUCAUAACCAUUUUUGGCCAAAAGGUCUACAGAAAUGACAUUCAAUAAAAAACUUGGACAAUAGUGACAAUCACUAAGGACAUUUACAUGAGAGCUGAAUUCAAGUUUAAGAAUUUCUAAAGCUAGAACUGG